ACGGAGGGAGCUAGCGUUGUUCGGAAUUACUGGGCGUAAAGCGUACGUAGGCGGUUACUCAAGUCAGAGGUGAAAGCCCGGGGCUCAACCCCGGAACUGCCUUUGAAACUAGGUAGCUAGAAUCUUGGAGAGGUCAGUGGAAUUCCGAGUGUAGAGGUGAAAUUCGUAGAUAUUCGGAAGAACACCAGUGGCGAAGGCGACUCACUGGACAAGUAUUGACGCUGAGGUACGAAAGCGUGGGGAGCAAACAGGAUUAGAUACCCUGGUAGUCCACGCCGUAAACGAUGAUAACUAGCUGUCCGGGCUCUCAGAGCUUGGGUGGCGCAGCUAACGCAUUAAGUUAUCCGCCUGGGGAGUACGGUCGCAAGAUUA
rnacentral:rRNA from 1 species